UGAAGCUGGAAUUGCUGUAAUGGCAGGUCAGCAUACUGCCGUGAAUACGUUCCCGGGCCCUUGUACACACCGCCCGUCACACCAUGAGAGUUGGAAAUACCCGAAGCCUGUGAGCUAACUUAAAGAGGCAGCAGUCGAAGGUAGAGCCAAUGAUUGGGGUGAAGUCGUAACAAGGUAGC
rnacentral:rRNA from 1 species